rnacentral:misc_RNA from 1 species
GCGAACAUUGACGAAAACGUUCGAUAGACGAGCAUAAGGCUCACAUUAGAGGAUUACAACCAAGUCAAAAGAAAAGUAUCCCAGAGGUCUCUCUAUUCGCACACUGUUGUUCAGUGCACAGAAGUCUUCAACAAGAAGCUUUCUGUUGACCUCAAAAAAUGAAUUCUAAGCACACAGGAGUUUUAUUGAUUUCUUGUUCAAGUUUGAGGUCUGCUGUUUUACGUUUGGUUGCCUAGGCUUUAUCGAUUUCGUUUUAUGUUAAAGAUUUUAUGUCAGCAAAGUGAAAAAGACGUUGCCGGUAUUAUUAUCGUAUAUUAUAGAGUUAUGGAUUACGACAUGUGUAGAAUUGACUACUUUAUAAGCGGAAUCACAUAUCCUGACACUCUAAAAAUUUUACCAUCUCAAGGACAGAAACUGGAACAGAAGGUCGUAGUUGGGGAUAAAACCGGAGUUCUGCAAUGUUUGACCAUAAGAGACGAAGAACCAGUCAUUCAAUUUAAGACAUUGCCAGGCAAACCAAUUACCGCCGUACAAUUGACUUCUACAAACGGUACGCAACCAGACAAAAUAUUUGCAGCAUCGGGUAAUGAGGUUAAAGGUUACACCAAAAAAGGCAAAGUAUUUUUCUCUAUUGAGACAGCAUUGUCGGAGCCUGUGACAUCUAUUUUGUAUGUUUCUAGGUGUGUUUUCGGUGGUGAUCUCAUACUAUGCAGUGGACGGACCAUCACAUUUUAUCGUGAUUCGAAGGAACAUCAGUCAUAUGUUUGUAAAGAUAGAGUUUUGGAUAUGGCAGCCUUUAUUACACCGAAUAAUGCUAAGGUGCGACUGCUUCUUUUGAUUGCACAUAAAGGCGCGGGCAUAUUAGAGAAUGGACAUCUGGUAGCUCACAUAGCUAUAUCUUCUGGUCCCUCUCGAUUAGCGACACCGCCUGUUGCUCAAGUUGCAGAAAUUAAAUGUUUCUAUGGUGCGGCCGAUGGUUCUGUGGGUAUUAUUACCUAUGAAGAAACGACACUUUCAAACAAUUGUCUUGUAGAAGGCCGAGGCCUAGGUUCUGUAGUGUGCCUUGGAUGGUUUUAUUCUAAUGCAAAUCUCCACCUCGCUGUAGGGCGAAACGAUGGAUCUGUUCAGCUAUAUCUCAUAGACGUUGAGAAUCUGCAUCUCAAACCAAGACUCAAAUUUACAUAUUUUUCUGGCGAACCUGUCACGUCGGUUGUUGGUGGAUGUGUAGGUACGGAUGAAGGAGAAUUACUAGUUGCAACUUUCUCAGGCCGAAUAUUCGCACUAAGGUCAAAGUUCCUUAUUGCUGGUUCGGUUACAAAAGCCUCUCAUGAAAAUCUAGCAGCGCGACGAUCAAAAUUGGAAAUUGAAAUUGUUCGAUUAGAAAAACAAACUGCCAAUGAAAGAGAAAAAUAUCAAAGGAAUUCGAGAUCAUUACAGGCAGGACUUUCAACACCACCUCUUCUUGAUAUUGAGCACAAGAUGUCAGGAGCGACACGAGAGGGUUGGCAAGAGGUUGAUAUAACAUUAGCAGUACCAUUGGACAUGUUGUUCAUUUAUUGUAGUAAGAAACUAAAAUUGCUGACUGACAGCGCUGCCGUCCUCAGCGUGUGCUCAUCGCAGGAUUCGGCGUCCGAUUUGUUAGCAACUGUAAGAUGUCAAGCAGGUACGAGGCGUAUUUGGCUCCGUUUGCGUGUUGCAUCAACUAAUUCAACGGUUUUAGAGUCCACACGCGUAUUAAUAUACGCAUUACCGACAGGCGCGCCAAGAGUUGCAAGACUUUUAUCAAUAAAGCUACCAGCAUUGCCGUACUAUUCACAGCACGAGGAAUUUGAUGAAAAUAAUGAUCACAGCAUAAAGUCUUGGUGUCAACUCCACGUAACGGGUGGUUUUUCCGUUGCUGAAAUGACUUUCUGGCUAUCAGAUAUUUUACCCGACGAGGUUCAGCUGUAUUUAAGUCAAACAAUAUUUCUACUGUAUCAUCUGUGAGAAGUAUUAUAUCAAAUUGUUCAAUAGACAAAAGAAUAAGAGUGGAAAUAUCGUGCGUGUCCUGACUGAAGAGUUUUCGGUACUUUAACCGAAAUUUUCGGCUAAACUUUCCUUUACGGUUCGUCGAUUUUGGGUCAGGGUGGAGGUGAGGGGAGGCAGGGGGUAAGGGUUUACCCCCUGCACCAUUCCCACCCCGCGGAACCCCAUGGUUAUGAAGAUAUCCACGGUUAAUUUUUUUGAUUAAAAUUGCAUUAUAUUUUAGUCAAACUCGAAGGGAGCUUAAGUUUGAAUCCGCCUUAUCUCCGGCGCUGCGGGAAGAGCAGCCCUUCCGCCCUUGCGUGCCGAAGCACGGUCACACGUGCUCCGCUUCGCAGCUUCGCUCAGUCGCUCCGCCUCACACUGUUUCCGUGCUCCGUCACAGCGGGCGAGGACUGCUCUCCCUCCGCGCCUCCGUUUUUUUAUAUACACUCUAGGGGUAGGGCAGACAAGACCAGGUGAAAAGUGUGGUGCUCUGAUUCGCUUUUCCAUAUUUUUCGAGUUGUCCACACUUACUAACCAUUAAAUUUUUGCCGCGGUGGCGUUAAUACUUAAGUACCGAGUUUUCUAUGAUUUCAGUAGUUAAAUAAUAUAAAUUACAUUCAUUCCAGGCUGCGGGUGGUUAAUCUUUAAUAUAGAAUAUUAUGAAACAUUUCAGAUAUUCCUGAUGAUUGUUGUUUGAAAUCAUUCAAAUUGAUUGAAAACAUCAUUAGUAUUGCAUAUGAAAAGAAAAACCAAGUUACUCUGGCGAAGGCUUUAGAUUUACUAGAACUGGA